rnacentral:lncRNA from 1 species
AAAGCUUCACCUACAAAGCUUCAACACAAAACCUUGCUCCAAAUAAACAAAUUUUGUUCACAAAACUCAAGAUGCCCUUGAACUUGUACAAAAACACUUGGGUAAACAUAAACAUUUUUUGUUUUACACCCAUAAGGGCCCAAAAUUUUCCUUCUUAUUUAUUCACUUAUAUAUGUUCCCAAACAUAUUAUAAUAGAUCCAACAACAAGCCAAAGUCCCAAAUUUCAUAAUGGACAAAAGUACAAGCAAUUCAUCAAUAAUGAAGGUGCUACAAAAAUUGGAAUCUGCCCCAAAAUAGAAAUCCAACCCAAGAGACUUUUUUUUCUCUCUCCCUCUUCCGCCUCCUUUCAUCUAUCAAAUUUCUGCAACCUCUGCUCUUCUCCAAUGGAGCUGAAUUUUGGACACCCUAUAGUUCUUGAGCAUAUGAACAACUUUCAAGAAGGAACCAUUUCUGUUUGAGCGACGGAAAUUAAAGUGUUGAAAGCUCCAAACAUGAUAGUCGGCUUCUUGCAGAUUUCGAAGCUGUUGUGAUGUUUUCGAAGAUCUGGAAAUAUUUAACCGUUAGUUCAUCCUGAAUUUUUGAUAUGUUAUGAAAGAGUCGAUGAGGAACAACUUCAAUGAAGAAAGCAUACCGAUCUGAACAAGAGAAAAUGGAGUUUCGAAACUCACAACAAAUCUGACGGGUUGACAGACAAAUAAUAACCAGUCAUUCAUCAUACCUGAAUUUCUUGAGUUAUACAGCUCUGAGGGAUCUCAAAUUUGGAUAUGUUGUAGUUCACAAGCUGAGGAACAACUUCAAUGAAGAAAGCA